rnacentral:rRNA from 1 species
GUAGGUGGCAAGCGUUGUCCGGAAUUAUUGGGCGUAAAGCGCGCGCAGGCGGUUCUUUAAGUCUGAUGUGAAAGCCCACGGGCUCAACCGUGGAGGGUCAUUGGAAACUGGAGAACUUGAGUACAGAAGAGGAAAGCGGAAUUCCACGUGUAGCGGUGAAAUGCGUAGAGAUGUGGAGGAACACCAGUGGCGAAGGCGGCUUUCUGGUCUGUAACUGGCGCUGAGGCGCGAAAGCGUGGGGAGCAAACAGGAUUAGAUACCCUGGUAGUCCACGCCGUAAACGAUGAGUGCUAAGUGUUAGGGGGUUUCCGCCCCUUAGUGCUGCAGCUAACGCAUUAGGCACUCCGCCUGGGGAGUACGGCCGCAAGGCUG